rnacentral:rRNA from 1 species
CGCUUUAAGGUAAAUUUUAAAGUCGAACCUGCCCAGUGAAACAACUUAACGGCAGCGGUACUCUGACCGUAAAAAGGUAGCAUAAUCACUUGGCUUUUGAAUGAGGUCUGGUAUGAAAGGUGUGACGUUGAGAAACUCUAAAUUUUUAAAUAAAAAAAUUUAAAUUAAAAGUUAAAAUGCUUUGAUUUGGAAAGGGGGCGAGAAGACCCUAUAGAUCUUUAUUUGAAAGAUUAAUUUUUAUUAAAUCUAACAAGUUUGGUUGGGGCGACAUAAAAAAUAAACUUCUAAUAAUUUUUAUUUUAAUUAAAAAUUUUUUUAGACGGGCACGUAGCCUUUUAUGAAAAGUUACCUUAGGGAUAACAGCGUAAUAAUAAAUAAGGAAAGUCAUUUGAAUUUAUGAUUGCGACCUCGAUGUUGAAUUAGGGCAUUUAAUAGAAGCACAACUCUAUUAACUCAGUCUGUUCGACUUUCAGUCC